UUGUUUUAACUCAAUGGAAAAUCAUAUCCCUGUCUUCGGCCGUGGUGCAGCUGUACACCGCAGACAGGAACUCCAUCUGGAACAAGAGAGGCUGCGGGGUGGCCUGUCUGGUCAAAGACAACCCGCUGCGGUCCUACUUCAUCCGGGUGUGGGACAUCAAGGUG